rnacentral:lncRNA from 1 species
UCCAGAACUUAGCUUGAUGGACUUUGACAGACAGGGAUUUGUUUCUUCGUGUUGUUUAGCUCAAACCAGAGCUAAACCUCCUCAUCGUCUCAAAUGACCUGAAAUGGUUUCCCAAGCAACCUGGGCAGACCCUGGGGAGUCCAGAAGGCAUUCAGGGGCCCUGGACCUCUGGGGCUGAAGAUCUGCCUGCCGCUGUCCUGGAGGUCACAGGUUCCAGAAGGGCAGCAGAUGCCUGAAGCCGCAGGGCUGCGGGAAACAUACCUCACUUGCCUGUGGUCCAGUUUGGAUAGUCCCAGCACAGCUUUACAGGAAUAGGCCCCAAACCGAACUUCCAAGGAGGAAGGAUCUGAUCGGCUCAGCUUGGAUGAGGAAGCGGAGGGAGAGUGGACUGGAAGGAACUUGACCCAGGAUGCUGAGUAAGCAGAGCUGUGAAUAUUUGAGUUCAAGCA